GAUGAACGCUGGCGGCGUGCCUAAUACAUGCAAGUCGAGCGAACAGACGAGGAGCUUGCUCCUCUGACGUUAGCGGCGGACGGGUGAGUAACACGUGGAUAACCUACCUAUAAGACUGGGAUAACUUCGGGAAACCGGAGCUAAUACCGGAUAAUAUAUUGAACCGCAUGGUUCAAUAGUGAAAGACGGUUUUGCUGUCACUUAUAGAUGGAUCCGUGCCGCAUUAGCUAGUUGGUAAGGUAACGGCUUAUCAAGGCAACGAUGCGUAGGCGACCUGAGAGGGUGAUCGGCCACACUGGAACUGAGACACGGUCCAGACUCCUACGGGAGGCAGCAGUAGGGAAUCUUCCGCAAUGGGCGAAAGCUUGACGGAGCAACGCCGCGUGAGUGAUGAAGGUCUUCGGAUCGUAAAACUCUGUUAUUAGGGAAGAACAAAUGUGUAAGUAACUAUGCACGUCUUGACGGUACCUAAUCAGAAAGCCACGGCUAACUACGUG
rnacentral:rRNA from 1 species